CUCCUGCUCCCGCGGGCCUUGGGCCUUUACCUAAUGCAGCCAUGUCAUCGCUUCUGAAAUGUAAAGCCAAACUGCUUCUCAGAAGAGGAGAUCUGAGCUGUGGGAUCACACGUGUAGUCGAGCACUCCAGCUUUUUGGCUGUUUGCUUGUAUUUGAAUCACAAGUUUCGUGCCAGCGAUAUAAAAAGAUUGUUAACAAAUGGCCAUUAAAACCGAAGACCUUGAAACUAAUUACACACAACGCUCAAAAAGAACUCGCUCUGCUAAUUGAGCGGAGCUCGUUACUUGUGAAGUAGGGAGGCUCAGCCUCCACUCACGGUGGAACAUACGGCAGGCUACGCGCGCAGCAGUCACAUCUGAACUGUUACACUUCAAAGGGCCGGGCGACGAUUGAUGUGUUACUGUCUGAGGAUGGCAACAGCUCAAAGGCAGAGAGAAACUGCAAAAGUUUUAAGUUUGAAGCUGAAGCGCGGACUUCAGAAGAGUUCGGCUUUGCACCGACUGAUUAGAGUAUAAGAAUGCAGUAAAUACAAUUUAAAAGUUAAAUUACCAUCUGGUCACAGCUAGAGGUAGAUUUCAGAAGCAGCACAAGUAAAUAGUUUCUUGCUCUCUGAACAAAUAAUUUUACAUUUCAACUAAGCCAUGUGGUAACUGGUACAAUUGAUUUCUGCUUGUAGUCAGUUACUGAACGGUUUCACAAUUGAUUUCAAUAGCCCUAGGAUGAAACUCUAUCUGCCAAGCAUACAAUGUUUGGUUGGUGCAGAUUGCAUUCAUACUGCUAAAAGCAAAAAAAAAGCUAUGGAAGGAAAUUGCCAUCUUGCGUUCAAGAGCCACGUGGAUGUGGCACUGGGGGACGUGGUCAGUGGGCAUGGCGGUGGUGGGCUGACGGUUGGACUGGAUGAUCUCAGAGGUCUUUUCCAACCUCGGUGAUCCUGUGAGUGCUGCAAAACCUGGAGCUGAGUUUGGCAUUAAAGCAGCGUGCUGUCUGUGCUGGAGGAGCUGUGGCGAGGCAGCGAUCUGCACAGCCCAGAGCCCCUCACUCUGUGCAGCCAAAUAGGAGUGGGGCUUUGGAGUUACCGGGAGCACUGCAACAGAGCCAAGAUGGAAUGCUUUGCUGGGCUGAGCUAGAGCAAUCUAAUUGAUGAUCCGUUUUACUCGUUACCAUACUGACUUGCCUCUAGGUCAGUAUAGGCUACAGGAAGUUUGUCUUUGGCAAAGAGUCUUCCUAAAGCCCAGUGGAAAUUCUCAAGUUUCUGCCUUCACUUUCAACUGCGGCUAAGAGAUGGAAGGAUCACAAGCAGGAGAGGAAACUUCUUGCCCUCAGUACCCUGCAGCUUUUUUUCUGGACCUGUGAUCCUCAGGAGACAAAGCUAUCUGAUGUCCCCAGGGCGACCUUUCCUUUUCAGUAGGUUUUAGUGCUUGAGGUUCAGCCCGCAGCCCUGUGAUUAACCACCUCCCCUGAGUAGACACAGAGCGCACUAUGUAUCACUACUGGAAACACAAAGCCCUUCAUCCUACAAAACUGUAUCAGCAAGGAGAUACCGCGCGGUGCCCCGUGGAUCCCUGUGGAUGUGCGUUCCCCACCACUGACACAGAUGGCGAGCAACAGAAUCCUCCGUGACCCAUUUUUAGAUCCAUUUGACACCUGCUUCAUAUGCUCGUGUAAAACCAGAGAUUUCAAGCUGAAAAAAAGCUUGCCAUAGUUGUUACUGGAUUAGAGGGAAUCUUUUUUUCAGCUCAUACAACAAAUUCCUUUUCCGCCUCUGGAGAGACCCACUUUAAGCUUUAGUCUAAUGGCAGGAUUGGAGAGGUUCUUUAAGCCCCCGUGGUGGCUGCAGCAUCCGUGGUUUGACAGAGAGGGGAGGCGUGGGACAGUGUGUGCAAAGUGACUGGGGCUUGUGGUUGACAAAGGGUAGUGAUGCGUCUCAACAUUCUUGUGCGCUUGCUUUGGGGGUGUGGAGCCACGUGGUGGGGUGGGGAGUGGAGAAGAGAGCAUUUUUCUUCUCUGAUUCAGUGUGGAUCUGCAGUUUUCCUUCUCCAUGAGCAGUGCAGAACUUUCCCAAAGCUGAAGAGAGUUCUCAGUCUUGCCUUUGUCUGGAAAAGCGUGUUUUAUAGCAUGAGAGCAAGGGAUAAGUGCAGCCUAAAGGGCCUGAGUCAUAUGAGCUGUCACUUAGCCAUCUAUCUAAUACCGAUUAACUACAAGACAGUUUUAGAUUUUCUUCUCUUUUUUUUCCCAAAGAAAUCAACUCAUGACUCAGUACCACAAAAAUGAAAAAGGGAAAAUUCAGGGUAGUCUCAUUUUUGGCUGAGUGAAUGAAGGACUCUUAGAUGACCCGACAUUUAUUUCCUCCUCUUACAGUGCAAACUGCAUUUUUGCUGUAGCUGGAACACUGAUUCUUACCACAAGCAGAACAGCAUGAAUGUGAGGCUGUUUGAAGAGGGGGCCUUGAUGGACAGUUGUUUUUAAAGGACUGCUUUCCUGAGAAAUGGACUUGAGUAACUCAGGCACCAUAUGCUUCCUGCUGUGCAAAGGCAUGGGUAAAUUUCUGUAUGGUUGGGCACUGGAAGUAAAUGCGGCAUAAGAAAUAGGUUUGGACACAGAACGCAGAUCCAUACUUAGUGGAUGGAAUUCAUAACACCACUGUACGGAGGCACUGGGUUGUGAAAAAGAAUCUGACUUUGGUGAGGUGAAGGAUGCAUUUUCGACCAAGGACUGAACUGAAUCAGUAGACUUAGACUAGAUAUCAGGAAGCAGUUAUUUACUGUGAGUGUGGUGAGACACUGGAACAGGUUGCCCAGAAAGGUUGUGAAUGCCCCCUCCCUGGAAGCAUUCAAGGCCAGGCUGGAUGGGACUUUGAGCAACCUGGUCUAGAGGGAGGUGUCCCUGCCCAUAGCAGAGGGUUGGAACUGGAUGAUAUUAAAGGUCCCUUCCAACCCAAACCAUUCUAUGAUUCUAUGACUGGACUCAGCCUUCAGAGCUGGCAGCACAUUUCUCAAUGUAAUGGCCUCCUAGAAGUUUACAUGCUGCAAUAAUGACAGAGUUUGAAGACCCCCAGUGUGUUCCCUAUUCAACUUCAGUUGGUUGAUUUUUUUCUGGGCAUGUCUGAGCUGGAGCUCAGCAGCAGUCCUCUCCCAAAAGUGAUUUAUACGAAAGAUCUGGCAUCCCCGGUUUCUAUUGAAUUGCAGUCCCUGCAAAUGGUCUGAUAAAAUCAGAUACUCUGAUAAAAAUCUCUACGCUUAUUCUUUGAUUACUGAGCAAGCUCAAUUUCAUCAUGGUGAAGUAGAAGCCAGCGGUUACAAUUACCUUUCCUUCCUUUCAUCUGGCUUUUAAUAUUUGGAUUUAAGAUGGAAAAAUUACAAAUGAAUAAAUCUGCACCAAGUCUAGUCAAGAUUUUUCUCUGUAUAAUAAUAUUAUUCAUAUCUCUAUGAUUAGCAACAGCUGGAAUAAAUUUUAGUAAAAAUAUAUUAAAAUCUGCAUUGUGGAGUAAGCCACAUGGAGUCACUGUAAUUUGAGGAAGGAAAAAGUUUUCAUAAAAGCUACUGAGAAAGGAAUAUGGAUUUUUCUUUCAGGUGACUUUUUUCCAUUUUGUUUUCGCAAGCAGAUCUGGUUUUAUUUCACUGUGCUCAACUUUCUGGUGCUCGUGUUGGACAAACACUUGAGAUACAGCAGUACCUCAACCAGCCACGCUGGACACUGCUUCUUCUCACUAAACCAAGGUGUACCGAGCUGCUCAAGCUGUGUUAAAGCAAAGUUUUCAGCUGCCAUUACAAUGACCUAAUCCAGUGCUGGUGCUAUAUCAGCUGGAAAGCUAUUAGGCAGCUCCACUUUUCACCUGCAAACAUCAUCUGUACCAGCUGCUGUUUUCAGAAAGUGGCUGAGAAAUGCGCAGGCAGCCAAUAGAUCAGUUAGAAUCAAAGCAAUAAAACUCUGUACAGCUUCUCGAGAGAAAUAAUUUGAAACCCCAGUUCAGUGGCCAACUGAAAAGGGCAGCAUCAGGAGGAAGUAGAGUGGGGAAGAGGCAGCUGGGAAUUACUGGAGCAGCUUUUCAGUGCUCCCUUUUCUCUCUGCGUUGUUCCAUAUGUCUAAAUGACCCUCAGACUGGAGGUGGGCUGAAGUGGACCCUCCUUAGAGGUCCUUGCUUCUUCAGUAGUCAUCUGCACUCCUGAGAAUCUGCUGUAGACAGAUAACAUAUGUUGCAAAGCGUGAGGAAUUUUUAAUAAAAAUAUAAAGAACUUUCUGAAUGAAAGUGAUUACCUAAGUGUGGGAAUGCCAGAGAGAAGAGCGGAAUGGUAGGUGCAGAUGGCACCUCAGCCAGCAGGUCAUCAAGGUGACAACGGGUCUGUGUGAGACUAACCAGAACCUCCUAAAACCGAAGACAGUCUACACAGCGAGCAAAAUGAAGGACAGGCUAAUAAACCAGAGCCCUCAAGAAGUGAUGAAAGGAAGAAAAAAGCAGGCAAGGAGCCAUAAAACACCCAGAUAAGGACAGAAAAGCAAAUACUAAGCCAGGGGUGGAACAGGAUGAGGAAACAAAAGAUCACACUGUCAACUCUUAGGAGAUCCAAGAGCAGCACUUGGCUUCCAGUCCGUGGAGAACCUAGGCGACAUGUUGAGAUGCCUACAGAUGUCCCUUUCCAUCUUCACCACCACAAGUCACCUGGGCCAGAGCACCUGGACCCAUCCAUUUUGGUGUUUGGAAGCAUGAAGAGCAAUGCAAAACAUCAACAUAUGAAACCUUCCAAGUGAGGAAACUCCAGACAGCACAGAAACUCCAUGAACGCAGACAGCCCCAGCUCAUCACACCUGCCAUUUUCUCCCGUCCCUGGAAUAUGGGACCCAACGGCUUGGCUCGAGUUUCAUCUUACAUAACUGCCACUCACAGGGUCCUUCUGAGAUUUUCCUGUGGGCUGUUUAGAGACUUGCAAAGAUGCUCCGUGGCCCAGCAUAUCUUAGCUGUUAUAGACUUAAUUCCAGAGCUUUGUUCCUCAGGCACAACGCAACCUUUUUCUUUGUACAGUAGAGGUCAUGUAUGCUGAGACAGAGCUUCCCUAGAUUCUGUUGCAAGAAUAAUGAGUGUUUCUCUGCAAAACCUGGGAAAAAAAAAAAAAAAAAAAAA
ensembl:lncRNA